rnacentral:rRNA from 1 species
AUUGAACGCUGGCGGCAGGCCUAACACAUGCAAGUCGAGCGGAUGCAGGGAGCUUGCUCCUGGAUUCAGCGGCGGACGGGUGAGUAAUGCCUAGGAAUCUGCCUGGUAGUGGGGGAUACCGUCCGGAAACGGGCGCUAAUACCGCAAACGUCCUGAGGGAGCAAGUGGGGGAUCUUCGGACCCCACGCUAUCAGAUGAGCCUAGGUCGUAUUAGCUAGUUGGUGGGGUAAAGGCCUACCAAGGCGACGAUCCGUAACUGUUCUGAGAGGAUGAUCAGUCACACUGGAACGGAGACACGGUCCAGACUCCUACGGGAGGCAGCAGUGGGGAAUAUUGGACAAUGGGCGAAAGCCUGAUCCAGCCAUGCCGAGUGUGUGAAGAAGGUCUUCGGAUUGUAAAGCACUGUAAGUUGGGAGGAAGGGCAGUAAGUUAAUACCUUGCUGUUUUGACGUUACCAACAGAAUAAGCACCGGCUAACUUCGUG